rnacentral:rRNA from 1 species
GACGAACGCUGGCGGCGUGCUUAAAACAUGCAAGUCGAACGAGAGCUUCGCCUCUAGUGGCAAACGGCUGAGUAACGCGUGUGUGACCUACCUGGAAGUGGGGAAUAACUGCCCGAAAGGGUGGCUAAUACCGCAUGUGAUUGCGAGUAUAGAGCACGUCAUGAAAGUCUUCGGACGCUUCGAGAGGGGCCCGCGCUCGAUUAGCUAGUUGGUGGGGUAACGGCCUUCCAAGGCGACGAUCGAUAGCUGGUCUAAGAGGAUGAUCAGCCAGACUGGGACUGCGACACGGCCCAGACUCCUACGGGAGGCAGAAGUUAGGAAUUUUGGGCAAUGGGCGAAAGCCUGACCCAGCAACGCCGCGUGGGUGAUGAAGGCCUUCGGGUCGUAAAGCCCUUUUUCAGGGGAAGAUAAUGACGGUACCCUGAGAAUAAGCCCCGGCUAACUACGUGCCAGCAGCCGCAGUAACAC